rnacentral:rRNA from 1 species
GACGAACGCUGGCGGCGUGCUUAACACAUGCAAGUCGAACGGAAAGGCCCUGCUUUUGUGGGGUGCUCGAGUGGCGAACGGGUGAGUAACACGUGAGUAACCUGCCCUUGACUUUGGGAUAACUUCAGGAAACUGGGGCUACUACCGGAUAGGAGCUCCUGCUGCAUGGUGGGGGUUGGAAAGUCUCGGCGGUUGGGGAUGGACUCGCGGCUUAUCAGCUUGUUGGUGGGGUAGUGGCUUACCAAGGCUUUGACGGGUAGCCGGCCUGAGAGGGUGACCGGCCACAUUGGGACUGAGAUACGGCCCAGACUCCUACGGGAGGCAGCAGUGGGGAAUAUUGCACAAUGGGCGGAAGCCUGAUGCAGCAACGCCGCGUGCGGGAUGACGGCCUUCGGGUUGUAAACCGCUUUCGCCUGUGACGAAGCGUGAGUGACGGUAAUGGGUAAAGAAGCACCGGCUAACUACGUG